rnacentral:rRNA from 1 species
GGAGGGGGAUAACUACUGGAAACGGUGGCUAAUACCGCAUAACGUCGCAAGACCAAAGAGGGGGACCUUCGGGCCUCUUGCCAUCAGAUGUGCCCAGAUGGGAUUAGCUAGUUGGUGAGGUAACGGCUCACCAAGGCGACGAUCCCUAGCUGGUCUGAGAGGAUGACCAGCCACACUGGAACUGAGACACGGUCCAGACUCCUACGGGAGGCAGCAGUGGGGAAUAUUGCACAAUGGGCGCAAGCCUGAUGCAGCCAUGCCGCGUGUAUGAAGAAGGCCUUCGGGUUGUAAAGUACUUUCAGCGGGGAGGAAGGUGUUGUGGUUAAUAACCGCAGCAAUUGACGUUACCCGCAGAAGAAGCACCGGCUAACUCCGUGCCAGCAGCCGCGGUAAUACGGAGGGUGCAAGCGUUAAUCGGAAUUACUGGGCGUAAAGCGCACGCAGGCGGUCUGUCAAGUCGGAUGUGAAAUCCCCGGGCUCAACCUGGGAACUGCAUUCGAAACUGGCAGGCUUGAGUCUUGUAGAGGGGGGUAGAAUUCCAGGUGUAGCGGUGAAAUGCGUAGAGAUCUGGAGGAAUACCGGUGGCGAAGGCGGCCCCCUGGACAAAGACUGACGCUCAGGUGCGAAAGCGUGGGGAGCAAACAGGAUUAGAUACCCUGGUAGUCCACGCCGUAAACGAUGUCUACUUGGAGGUUGUGCCCUUGAGGCGUGGCUUCCGGAGCUAACGCGUUAAGUAGACCGCCUGGGGAGUACGGCCGCAAGGUUAAAACUCAAAUGAAUUGACGGGGGCCCGCACAAGCGGUGGAGCAUGUGGUUUAAUUCGAUGCAACGCGAAGAACCUUACCUGGUCUUGACAUCCACAGAACUUUCCAGAGAUGGACUGGUGCCUUCGGGAACUGUGAGACAGGUGCUGCAUGGCUGUCGUCAGCUCGUGUUGUGAAAUGUUGGGUUAAGUCCCGCAACGAGCGCAACCCUUAUCCUUUGUUGCCAGCGGUUAGGCCGGGAACUCAAAGGAGACUGCCAGUGAUAAACUGGAGGAAGGUGGGGAUGACGUCAAGUCAUCAUGGCCCUUACGACCAGGGCUACACACGUGCUACAAUGGCGCAUACAAAGAGAAGCGACCUCGCGAGAGCAAGCGGACCUCAUAAAGUGCGUCGUAGUCCGGAUUGGAGUCUGCAACUCGACUCCAUGAAGUCGGAAUCGCUAGUAAUCGUGGAUCAGAAUGCCACGGUGAAUACGUUCCCGGGCCUUGUACACACCGCCCGUCACACCAUGGGAGUGGGUUGCAAAAGAAGUAGGUAGCUUAACCUUCGGGAGGGCGCUUACCACUUUGUGAUUCAUGACUGGGGUGAAGUCGUAACAAGGUAACCGUAGGGGAACCUGCGGUUGGAUCACCUCCUUACCUUAAAGAA